UUGGGAAUAGUAUCCCAAAGUCAAUUGUCAGCCUGUUGACGGUUGGGCUCAUUUUGUAUAUGUAUAUGAAUUAUGAAUUAAUAAAAAUUAUUUUGGUAUUUUUCAUCACAAAAUGUUUCAUCUUCUAAUGAACUCCUAUGUUGUGGUGAAGUCCUUAGGACUAUUUAGACUCGACAAAGGAGGAUUUAUCGUUUAGUCCUUAAAUCUGUUCGCGACCAAAUGAUAUAUUGUUACCAAGGACG
rnacentral:lncRNA from 1 species